rnacentral:piRNA from 1 species
UCACUUAGCGAAACCGAGUCGAAAAGGCA